rnacentral:rRNA from 1 species
GGAUUAGCUAGUUGGUGAGGUAAUGGCUCACCAAGGCUACGAUCCGUAACUGGUCUGAGAGGAUGAUCAGUCACACUGGAACUGAGACACGGUCCAGACUCCUACGGGAGGCAGCAGUGGGGAAUAUUGGACAAUGGGCGAAAGCCUGAUCCAGCCAUGCCGCGUGUGUGAAGAAGGUCUUCGGAUUGUAAAGCACUUUAAGUUGGGAGGAAGGGCAGUAAGCGAAUACCUUGCUGUUUUGACGUUACCGACAGAAUAAGCACCGGCUAACUCUGUGCCAGCAGCCGCGGUAAUACAGAGGGUGCAAGCGUUAAUCGGAAUUACUGGGCGUAAAGCGCGCGUAGGUGGUUCGUUAAGUUGGAUGUGAAAUCCCCGGGCUCAACCUGGGAACUGCAUCCAA